GAGCCCCGCUCGGCCCCCUCAGCCCCUUUCGGGGCGGGGCCCGGGCCGGUGCCUCUCGCGCGCCGCGCCCGCCGUUGCCGUGGCGACGGGCUAAGCCGGGCCCGGGCGCGGAGGGGCCGGGCCGGAGCCGACCCGCGGCUCGGCGCUGCCGGGGCGGGCAUGCACAACAAAGGCGGCGGGAGACGCGUCCCGGGCGGGCUCCGCAGAUUGUGUUAUAACCUAUGAUCACAGAAAAUCCUGAUCCUCACAUUUCUCUGCUGUCACCUGUGGGCUCCUCCAGAGCCAUGGAGAAGGGGAACUCCAGCCCCACCAUGACAAGACCGGGUCUUCUGCGCAUGGCGACUCCACCCAUGUGAGAGCUCUCUUAAGUGAGUCCCCAGCAGCACACUGUGCUGUCUGUGGUCUGUGGACACUGACUGCCAUCUAAGCGACACCCCAGCUCCCUCCUGUCCCCCUAGACGCCACUGUCUUAGAGCCUCCAUGUGCAUUUGCUAUGACAUACAUCAGUGUUGAUGAGAGACAGGAACACUGCCGGGUGAUCUCGAGCUGCCAAAAUAAUCAGCUCUGUGCACAACAUGGCUUAAAGGAUUUUUCGGUUAGCAGCAUGCAUCCACUAAAGAACCUAGACACUCACAUUUUUUCUGGGGACUUCCACACUCUAGACUACUGCCACAAGGGCAAGGCACCUUUGGCCGGUCCUGUGGAAAACCGGAUGUAUCGGAGCGUGGAGAACCUUCACUGGGCAACAGUUGCCGACUCUGGGCUGUAUUCUCACUGCCGGAGCCUGGAUAACGAGAUCAUCUUUCGCUAUAGAGGCACCAGUCAGUGGACAGAAGGCUGUGUGGAUGUGGCCCCGGUACAGAACACAUCGGACUCUCUGAGAAACCUUUCUCUCCACGCUAAACAGACGUCUCGAUCGGCACACAACGUGCUCCUCCCUCCCUUUGCCAAAGUGCCUCAGUGGCUCUUCCCUUCUGCAGAGGAAAGAGCCCUACGUGGGGAUGCCAAAAAAGAGCUGAAGGAGAAGCUGAGGCUGCACAGCAGUAAGGUGGCAGAGCCCUGUAAGCCAGUGCGUCCCCAGGUGGCCCUGCCUGACCUGAUGGCCCGGGAGAUCUUUGAGUGCCAGGUAUGCCGGCAGUGCAAGAACGGUUGUGCUGUCAACUACUGCACGGUGCUGGUGGAACACACUGCACUCAGGCACAGCCUCACUGGGAGACAGGGACUGUGCUUUGCACACAGCAUCAUCAGUCCAGACGACAUCAAGCAGGAGGCUCAGAGGAGGCUUCAGCUCCGAAGGCAGAAUAGCUCCCCCAAUUUGCCCCUUCAGCACACUGGGGAAAGCCAUGAGAUGGGCAAAUCCAGAACAGCAGAAACCCUAGAACAAUACAGUGGGGAACCAGAUGACAAAGUCACAUUGGGACAGAGCAAGAAAGGUCGCUGUAAAGGGAGGCUCUACAUACCCACCUUUGAGGAAUUCAAGCAGAUGAGAAGAAAGGAAGGGAAUUCAUCUACCAGCAGCAGUGAGACAACAGAUUGCUUGAAUAAGGGUCUGCCUGCAAACCAGACACUGGAGGAGGAAAAGAAUGUCUGUUCAGAAGCUCUGGGGACCAAAGCUGUGAAUGAAUCUGCUGUCACAGCGGAGGAUGAUGAUGAUGAUGUAUUCCAUGAAAACCACACCUCUGCUGGCUUUUCCCAAUAUCCAGCCACAUGGGAUGGUUUCAGGAUGAGCAGUCCUGAGGUGAAGGACAAAACCUUCCAGACCUCCAGCCCAGAUACAUCGUCAGUCCCUAUUUGCUCCAGUCCAAUUCCACGAUCACCUUUACAGGCAGUAGCAAUACACAGAGCUGGGCAGGAGAUCUUGAGUGAUGAGCAGCAGAAAGGAGAGACAAGAAAAUUAAAUGAUGUCCUCCACCUUGCAGGGCAGUCCCCAGCUUCUGAAGCCCAGUCCUCUUGCUGUUCAUCGCUGCUGUUAGAAGCCACAGACUUAUCCAGCUACGGAGCUAAGCUACAAAAAAUGAAGGAUGAAUUCAUAGGUUCAGCCUUGGAACUUAUUAAGAAAAGCUGCAAUGCUGAGACUGUUGCCAAAUCCCCCUCCAAGGGACAGUGUGAUCUGAGGGAAGCUGAUCUCCCACCUCCGGAGGACAGCCAGCAGCCCACAGCGAUGUCCAUGGCAACAGAGACCUGGGAGGACAAGCCAAGCAAUGAGACAUCCAGCGACACUCCACCUGCAGGGAAUACUCCCAGUCCCAGCUGUCGCCGAUCCAGCUCUGACAUCGUCCACGAGAGCACGGACGGUGCGAAGGCCCAGCGGGAGUGCCGGCUGCGGCCCCACUUCAGUGACCCUAUGCCAACAGACUCGGUGAAGAGGAAGCAGCUGGAGCUGAAGAUCGCGGCUGCAGCGCGGCAGCACGCGCAGAAACGCCGGCAGGAGCGGGACUAUGGUCCAGUGGUAGCAAAAGCCAACCUCGGCCAUGGUGGCAGCUUUGACGAGACCCGCCGUGCCCCACGGGGCUCCCUCCGCUCCAGACACCACUGGAGCAAUGUCAGCAGCCUGAGCACGGACAGUGGGAUUGUUGGUGUGAACGAUGCCCGGGACGACCUGGAUCCCAGCGAGGGCACCCGGACCAAGUCAGCGGAUGUGGAGAGGGCAGAUAGUGGCAUUGGCCAGAUGCCAGCCAGGAAGUGGAGGAACAGGGCAUCUGAAACGCUGAGCUCCUUGCAGGCCUGGGAAGCCCACCGUCCCUGCACUGACUGCGGAGAAAGGGACCUGCCGGUGGAGACAGAUGUUCAGAACUGCAACCAGAGGCGGGCUGACCUCUGCGAGAAGUGCCGCAAGCGCAGGACGGAGCGCAAGGAGUCUGUGCUGGAGUUCGUCAACACAGAGGCCAGCUAUGGAGAGGACCUGCGCAUCAUUAAAGAGGAGUUCUACCUCCCCAUGCAGGCAGCCGGGCUGCUGAGCCAGGAGCAGCUCCUGGGCAUCUUCAGCAACAUCCAGGAGCUCAUCGACCUCAACGAGAACUUCCUGGAGAUACUUCAGGAAGAGAUCGAUCAGGCCUUUGACCAGGGGGAUGAUGACCUGAUGACCGUGUGCAUCGGAGAAAUAUUCCUAGAGUUUGUCAACAUGCUGCCGGCCUUCCAGACCUACUGCCUCCAGCAGUCCUCCUCUGUGAACAUGCUCAAUGCACUGGAGAAGGAAAAAGAGUUGCUCAGAAUAUUCCUCAAUGUCUCCCAGAAUGACAACACCGCACUGCGGCGGAUGAACCUGAGGUCCUUCCUGAUGGCUCCCCUGCAAAGAGUCACCAAGUACCCACUGCUGCUCAGCAGAAUCAUCAAGGCCACCACCGAGUACCACCCGGAUCACGGCAGCCUGCGGGAGGCCAAGAGCCGCAUCGAGUCCCACCUGGAGCACAUCAACAUGAAAACCAAGCAGGAGGGGAACACGUGGACCCUCCGAUCCUUUCGCCAGGACAGCAAGAAGAAGAGGGAAGUCAUUAAUAUUGAGAUGAGAGAAACUGCACUCAAAACUGUUGGUUGGCUGCGCGAGGAAACGCGAUUUGUGAUGGAGGGGUCUCUGCAGCUGGCCCAGCCCCCCGAUGGCCAGUGGGUGAAGAAAGGCAGCAAGACCCUGAAGUUCCAGAACAUGCAGGUCCUCCUCCUGGUGAACAUGAAACGUGUGUCCGAGUCCAGCCUGGAAUCAGCUGAGCCAGGGCCUGUGAAGGAUGCCGUGCUGGUACUCAUCAGAGACAAAAAUAACGGGAAGUUCCAUUUGCUCAGGGAGCCCUUGAGGCUGAGUAAUUGCAUUGUCUCCACUGAUCCCGACUGUGACGACACUUUUGAACUCAUUGAGAUCAGGAGGGAGGCGUUUGUGUUCCGGGACAGCGACCGGGCACGGACUCACCACUGGUUCAGGCAGAUCAGGCGGUACUCCAGGGAGCUGGGCUCCUGGAAGAAGCGGCGGAACGCGCUGCCCAACAUCAUGAUCAGCACUCCUCACACCAGGCCCUGAGUCCUGCACGGGCAGACUUGGCUUGGCCAAUGUCACGUGCAGAGACCAUCAGUGGCUUGAACUUGCUGUGCUCCAUGGACAACACAGGGAGGAGUCUGGCCCCCAAAGAUUCUCAACAGCACUGGAAGCACCACAGCUGGUCUCCAGCCUCAGGACUCGCAACCAGUUUGUGACUCGUAUAUACAGAGAUGGUCUCCCCUCGAGGAGCAGAUCACUGGAGGAAAAUACUGUUUAACUUGUUAAUAUUGCACUGCAGGAGAAUGAUGUAUGAUGCUUGCCAUUGCAUGGAUUGUGUUGAAAGCCAGUCUUGAUGAGAGAGGUUUCCACUAUUGACUGUAUUUCAUCAGCAUUAGGAGGAUUCCUACAAGCCCAAUUGUGUAUUUCUUCAGGUCAACAAGCAUCAGUGGGCACCACAUGAAGGCAGACAGAAGCCACCCUCAUAAAGCGUUCUAGUGCUUCAUUUUGUCCAAGAGGAAAUGGAAAGAUUUGCAUCAUCUGGAGGGUGCUCAAGACGUGAGGGUGGCUGCACAAAGCUGAGCGCUGUAGUGAGCAAUAGCUGUCAAAAUGCUUGUCAGAGCAGCAGCCUGGCUCCCUCAGGUGAGCUGGAACCCCCUCCAGCUAUAUUCCUAUUUCCUAGUUGCUGAACAAUAAUUGUGUGUUCCCCAAAAUACUGAACAGCCAGUGAAGAGCAUGAGGCAUUGCUUUAGUGUGCUGUUCGUUUUUCACAGAGAUGGAUGCCUGAGCAGAGCAGCUGCUGGAGGAAAAUUUCUCUUAUGCUGUCGUGGCAGAUCUGCAUCUAUGAGCCUUCAAGCCCCAUUCACCUCACACGCAAAAAGCAACAGCUUGUAGCACCUUUGUCUUCCCUGCCAGGAUACAAUGGCGCAGCCACCUUCUCUUCAUUACCUCCAGGGCAGCUUUGACAAGGCAAGGCAUAGGUACAAGUAAGUGUAACAGGUUAAUUUAUUCAAACAGCAAGUGGUUUUCACAGCCACGCAAGAGCUGCUGCUUUCUGGAAAGUUUUCAAUUACUUUCCAGCACAGUGAUUUUCUCCCCAUCAAUUCAAGCUCGAAACCAGCCAUGGACUGUUUGUACAGUCAUAUCUUUCUAUCAAGAUACCUUCAGCCAGCCUGGCUGUUCAAAAAGGUUAGAGAACAAUAAGUAUA